rnacentral:lncRNA from 1 species
CCUUCUUCCUCAUCGUCGUUCCGUCUCCGUAGCCCGAGCUUGAAUUCUAUUCGUCUUCGUCGGAUCUUCGAUGUGUUCGAUAGAAAUCACGAUUGUUUGAUCAGCGUUGAAGAACUCAGCCAAGCACUUAACCUGCUUGGAUUAGACGCCGAUCUAUCAGAAAUUGAAUCGAUGGUGAAAUCAUACAUCAAACCAGAAAACACUGGUCUUAGAUUUGAAGAUUUCGAAGCCUUACAUCGAUCUCUGAACGACGUUUUCUUCGGGUCAAAAUGUGAAGAUAAGCUCGGGUUGAAUUCGGAUCCGGCACAGGAUGAAUUGGAUCUGAAAGAAGCGUUUGAUGUUUUUGACGAGAACGGGGAUGGAUUUAUAUCGGCGAAGGAAUUG